ACUGGCUUGGGGCGCCGGCCCCUCCUCUUACAGCUUUGCUCCUGCUGGCUUAGGAAAAGGCCGGAGAAGGUGAAAUUCUGUGUGCUCCCUCCGGCGAGAGACUUUGUCAGCUCCUGCACGUUGUGGCUAUGGGGACUGUGCCCGUGGCACUUGGUGCCAUGGGCUUCACCUCAGUAGGAAUCGCCGCAUCCUCCAUAGCAGCCAAGAUGAUGUCUACAGCAGCCAUUGCCAAUGGGGGCGGAGUUGCCGCGGGCAGUCUGGUGGCUAUUCUGCAGUCAGUGGCUGCAGCCCAUCCAGGAGCACUCACCCUCUGACAGCUGUGAAGCUUCAACACUGGCUUUCCCACCCACCAGGAGCCUCAAGGGACCCAAGGGAGACUGGAGUGGCUGCUCUGAGUUUGUGGAAAACAGUGGGCACAGAAAGGAGUUAUGAGCUGUGAGGACUGCAAUGAGCCCAAGUGGGAGAUGGCUGGAGUGCUGUGACUUCCAAAGCACCUGGACUGGGGAAGGGAGGAAAAGAGCUUCUAUGUCCUGCCACUCUGCCCUCUGUUCUCCUGAGUCCCCAUACCAACCUCUGGGUCACCUGUGGGACACCCUAAAUAGCCACAGGGCAGUCCUAAAAGUGCUGGAACAAGAAGAUCAACAAGAAGAUCAAAACAAAUAACACUUACAUACACACACCAUGGUCAAGUCACUGCCCAUGUCUCAUUACAUAAAAUCCUCACGCCAUUCCAAGAAAGGUGACGCUCCUGGUCCUAUCUUACAGACGUUGUUAGAAGAACUUGUAAGAAGUGGAUCCAGAGAACCCAACUCCUGCUGCUAUUAAAGAUGGGCAUCUUUCCAUGGCUGAAAA